GACGAACGCUGGCGGCGUGCUUAACACAUGCAAGUCGAACGGAAAGGCCCUGCUUUUGUGGGGUUCUCGAUUGGCGAACGGGUGAGUAACACGUGAGUAACCUGCCCUUGACUUUGUGAUAACUUUAGGAAACUGGGGCUAAUACCGGAUAGGAGCUCCUGCUGCAUGUUGUUGUUUGGUAAGUUUCGGCGGUGGUGGAUGGACUCGCGGCUUAUCAGCUUGUUGGUGGGGUAGUGGCUUACCAAGGCUUUGACGGGUAGCCGGCAUGAGAGGGUGACCGGCCACAUUGGGACUGAGAUACGGCCCAGACUCCUACGGGAGGCAGCAGUGGGGAAUAUUGCACAAUGGGCGGAAGCCUGAUGCAGCAACGCCGCGUGCGGGAUGACGGCCUUCUGGUUAUAAACCGCUUUCGCCUGUGACGAAGCGUGAGUGACGGUAAUGGGUAAAGAAGCACCGGCUAACUACGUG
rnacentral:rRNA from 1 species